CUUUUUGAGAAUAAUUUAAGGUCUAACCUGCCCAAUGAGGAUUUUAAAUGGCCGCAGUAUAUUGACUGUGCAAAGGUAGCAUAAUCAUUAGUUUUUUAAUUGAGAGCUUGUAUGAAGGGUUGAAUGAGAAAGUGGCUGUCUCUGUUUAAAUUUAUUAGAAUUUUUUUUUUAAGUUAAAAAACUUAAAUGUUUAUGGAAGACGAGAAGACCCUAUAGAGUUUAAUAUUUUUUAAAUCAGGAUUUUUAGUAUUAUAGUUCUUGCUUGAAGGGAGUAUUUAGUUGGGGUGAUUAAAAAAUUUAUAGAACUUUUUUAAAAUAUAAGCAUUUAUUUAUGAUUAUUUGAUCCUUUAUUGAAGAUUAAUAGAUAAAAUUACCUUAGGGAUAACAGCGUUAUUUUUUUUUAGAGUUCUAAUCGAAAAAAAAGAUUGCGACCUCGAUGUUGGAUUAAAAUUAAUUUUUGGUGUAGAAGCUGGA
rnacentral:rRNA from 1 species